UACGGGGGGGGCAAGCGUUGUUCGGAAUUACUGGGCGUAAAGGGCGCGUAGGCGGCCUUCUAAGUCAGACGUGAAAUCCCUCGGCUCAACCGAGGAACUGCGUCUGAUACUGGAAGGCUUGAAUCCGGGAGAGGGAUGUGGAAUUCCGAGUGUAGAGGUGAAAUUCGUAGAUAUUCGGAAGAACACCAGUGGCGAAGGCGGCUCACUGGACCGGUAUUGACGCUGAGGUGCGAAAGCGUGGGGAGCAAACAGG
rnacentral:rRNA from 1 species